rnacentral:rRNA from 1 species
UACGUAGGGCGCAAGCGUUAUCCGGAAUUAUUGGGCGUAAAGAGCUCGUAGGCGGUUUGUCGCGUCUGCCGUGAAAGUCCGGGGCUCAACUCCGGAUCUGCGGUGGGUACGGGCAGACUAGAGUGAUGUAGGGGAGACUGGAAUUCCUGGUGUAGCGGUGAAAUGUGUAGAGAUCGGGAGGAACACCGGUGGCGAAGGCGAGUCUCUGGGCAAUUCCUGACGCUGAGGCGCGAAAGCGUGGGGAGCAAACGGG